UACGUAGGAUGCAAGCGUUGUCCGGAAUUACUGGGCGUAAAGGGCGUGUAGGCGGCUCAUUGUGUCUGAUGUGAAAUCUCUCGGCUUAACCGGGAGGGGUCAUUGGAAACUGGUGAGCUAGAGUACACUAGAGGUUAGCGGAAUUCCCGGUGUAGUGGUGAAAUGCGUAGAUAUCGGGAGGAACACCAGAGGCGAAGGCGGCUAACUGGGGUGUAACUGACGCUGAGGCGCGAAGGCUAGGGGAGCGAACAGG
rnacentral:rRNA from 1 species